rnacentral:lncRNA from 1 species
AUUUACCUUCUCCAUUGUGAAUAGCCUCAACAAAAGCCGUGUAGUUCCAGUUCUUUAUCACAUUGUAAGGACCAUCAUGGAUCUCCACUUCAAUGGUGUACCCUCCAUUGUUGAUGAGAAAGAUUAUAGUCUUCUGCCCACACCUUAUCAUGGUCGACACAUCCUGUGCGGUAACCUGGAAACUACCGUCUCCAAUACAAGCAAUGACACGCUUGUUUGGUAUGGCUUGAGCAUAGCCUAGAGUAGCACCAACGGACCAACCAAUGGACCCAUACUGCAUUUGGAACUCGUAACCACAUCCUUCAGGGAGUUUCAGCUUCUGACAGUUGAACCAAGAAUCCCCCGUCUCAGCGAGCACAGCUGUUUCAGAAGAGAGCAGAUUCUGAAUGUGUUGAAACAGCACAUUAACCCUCAAAGGCUCCUUGGGAUUCUCUCUCAGAGGCUUUCCUUCAGGGACAAAGAUCCUGUGGUAAUUCUCGUAAGCGGUGUUGUUAUGCUUGAUUCGUUUAGCUAAACCGCUAAGAAAAUCCUUCAUCAACACACAUCCAAAAGCAGGUCCGUUACCGAUAGUAACCCGAUCAGGCUGCACGAUGAUUGCCUUCUCCUUCUUGAGAAGCAGAGAGUACCCAACGGAGCUGUAAUCAUUAAAGAUAGGACCCGCGAAGAGAUACGCAUCAGCAGACUCAACAAUCUCAGCGCAAAACGCAGUACUCACAGCUCCCCAAUACGUGCCAAUGAAGUGCUUAUGAUGCUCAGGCACCUGCCCCUUAGCAGAUGGCAUCACAGCGACACCAUACCCAGAAGCA